rnacentral:rRNA from 1 species
AGAGUUUGAUCAUGGCUCAGGAUGAACGCUGGCGGCGUGCCUAACACAUGCAAGUCGAACGGACUUUUCAUGAAGCCUAGCGAUUGGAAAGUUAGUGGCGGACGGGUGAGUAACGCGUGGGUAACCUGCCUGUACUGGGGGACAACAGUUGGAAACGACUGCUAAUACCGCAUAAGCGCACAGCUUCGCAUGAAGCAGUGUGAAAAACUCCGGUGGUACAAGAUGGACCCGCGUCUGAUUAGCUGGUUGGUGAGGUAACGGCCCACCAAGGCAACGAUCAGUAGCCGGCCGUGAGAGGGUGAACGGCCCACAUUGGGACUGAGACACGGCCCAAACUCCUACGGGAGGCAGCA